CACUAUGCAUGGUCGUAAACCUGACAGCCCAGUACAUUCGCUGUCCGCCUGGGAACUACGAGCGUAAGCUUAAAACCCAAAGGACUUGACGGUGCUUUACAUCCACCUAGAGGAGCCUGUCCUAGAACCGAUAAUCCCCGUUGAACCUCACCUUUUCUUGCUUAUUCCGCUUAUAUACCGCCGUCUCCAGCCUACCCUGUAAAGGACCUAUAGUAGACAAAAUUGGUGUAACCCUAAACGACAGGUCGAGGUGUAGCGUAUGAAAAGGAAAGAGAUGGGCUACAUUCAGUGAAACACUGAAUACGGAAAAUUAAUUGAAACAUUAACCUGAAGGAGGAUUUAGUAGUAAGCGGGGAACAGAGAGCCCCCCUGAAACCAGCCCUAAAGCGCGUACACACCGCCCGUCACUCUCCCCAAACAAUGAAACCUUAUUUCUAAAAACCAAAAAACGUAGAGGGGAGGCAAGUCGUAA
rnacentral:rRNA from 1 species